GGCGUGUAAACAGUUACGUCAAGUGCGUCAAGUCGAAUUCUAACCCCACUUUUUGAGGAUUUGUUGAUGACAGAUGCUUAAGUGCGGAAUUUGUGAAUGUUAUUAUCAAUUAAAAUAGAGCGUAUUAAAUAAUAAUUUAUUUGUAAUAAACAAUUUGGUUCAGCUUUUAAUGAAUACAUGAGUAUGGAAUCUUCGAAGAAAUUUAUAGAAUGUUGUAUUGAAAUGAAAAAGUGAAAUGAUGGAUGAAAUGAUUCCAUUGAAAUUGCUUCUGAGAACUGUGACUUGAAAAUUUAAUUUCUCUUCAGAUGCAAAGGUUCUUAGUUUUGAGAUAUGAGGAAAAUAGAUCAAACAAUCAAAUUAAAAUGAAAGAUUUACAGAAAUUCAUUAAAUACAUUAAAGGCAGGA